rnacentral:rRNA from 1 species
GUAACUGACGGGGAGGGCUAGCGUUGUUCGGAAUUACUGGGCGUAAAGCGCGCGUAGGCGGCUUUGCAAGUCAGAGGUGAAAGCCCGGGGCUCAACCCCGGAAUUGCCUUUGAGACUGCAUCGCUAGAACGUCGGAGAGGUAAGUGGAAUUCCGAGUGUAGAGGUGAAAUGCGUAGAUAUCGGAAGGAACAUCAGUGGCGAAAAGCGACUUCCUGGACCAGUACCGACGUCAGGCACGAAAGCGUGGGGAGCAAACAGG